rnacentral:rRNA from 1 species
UCAGGCCUAACACAUGCAAGUCGAACGGUAACGCGGGGCAACCUGGCGACGAGUGGCGAACGGGUGAGUAAAGCAUCGGAACGUGCCCAGUAGUGGGGGAUAGCCCGGCGAAAGCCGGAUUAAUACCGCAUACGACCUAUGGGUGAAAGCGGGGGACCGUAAGGCCUCGCGCUAUUGGAGCGGCCGAUGUCAGAUUAGGUAGUUGGUGGGGUAAAGGCCUACCAAGCCGACGAUAUGUAGCUGGUCUGAGAGGACGACCAGCCACACUGGGACUGAGACACGGCCCAGACUCCUACGGGAGGCAGCAGUGGGGAAUUUUGGACAAUGGGCGCAAGCCUGAUCCAGCCAUGCCGCGUGCGGGAAGAAGGCCUUCGGGUUGUAAACCGAUUUGGUCAGGGAAGAAACGCUCUGGGUUAAUACCCUGGGGUA